UACAGAGGUCCCAAGCGUUGUUCGGAGUUACUGGGCGUAAAGGGUGUGUAGGCGGUUCCCUAAGUUUGGUGUGAAAUCUCCCGGCUCAACUGGGAGGGUGCGCCGAAAACUGGGGGGCUAGAGUACUGGAUGGGAGAGUGGAAUUCCUGGUGUAGCGGUGAAAUGCGUAGAUAUCAGGAGGAACACCUGUGGUGUAGACGGCUCUCUGGACAGUAACUGACGCUGAGACACGAAAGCGUGGGUAGCAAACAGG
rnacentral:rRNA from 1 species